GAUUCAAGAAGAUGGAAAGAAAUAACUGACGCCAUUUGUUACUACAUCGCGAAGGACAUGGCUCCCAUAGCUACAGUGGAGCACAGUGGGUUUAAACAACUCGUUAGAACACUCGACAGAAGAUACACUGUGCCAGCGUGACCAUAUUUUCCCCAAACUGCGCUGCCAAACAUGUACCAAACAUGUCGUAAAAAAGUAGCUGCUGAACUGAAGUCUGUUAAGCACUUUGCAGCCACAUCUGAUCUGUGGUCAAGUAGGAUGAUGGAACCAUAUUUGAGCCUUACAUUGCACUACAUUGAUGAUGAAUGGAAGCUGCACAACAGGUGCCUUGAGACAGCAUAUUUUCCAGUCGAUCACACGUCAGAGAUGAUUGCACAGGGCCUGAGAGAUAUGCUUUCUGCGUGGGAACUAACAGAAGAGACCCUCUUGGCUAAUGUUGUCAAAGCUGCACAGCUCAACAGAUGGACACGGCAGCAGUGUUUUGGACACAGGCUGCACCUGGCAAUCGAAAAUGCAAUGAAAGAUCAACGUGUGGUGCGAGCAAUGAGGGUGUGCAAAAACAUAGUCAGUGCCCUUUCCUAUAGUUGGAAAAAGAAGAAGGCAUUAGGGAAGGCGCAACAAUAGCUAAACCAGCCUCAACACAAGCUAAAAACAGCUUGUGUCACCAGAUGGGGAUCGAUCCAAAUGAUGACUGCAAGGGUCCUUGAGCAAAAGAAAGCCAUUACUCAGGUCCUCGCUGAUGAUAAGAAAUCAAGGCACCUUAUUCCAUCUUGGGCUGACUUGGAUGUCUUGGAGGCUGUCAACAGAGCUCUUUCCCCAUUGAUGGAGUUCACACAUGCCCUGUCAGGCGAAGAGUAUGUGACCAUUUCAUUCGUGAAGCCUGUCCUACACAUCCUCAGUUCACGAGUGCUGGCUGAGGAGGAAGAUAACGUGGAGCUGACCAAAACAAUCAAAACCAGCAUCCUUGCAUACCUUAAGGGGAAGUACUGAGACCCCAUCACAGAAGAGCUCCUGGACACCGGAAGUUUUGUUGAUCCCAGAUUUAAAACAGCAUACAUUUCUGCGCACCAUGUCGCCACCAUUCAGGAGAAAGUGAAAACAGAGAUGGUGUCAGCAGCUGCAGUCCACAGUGAAAGUACCACUGAGAGUACACAGCCCUCUACGUCUUCAUCAGAAGCAAAGAAGAGGUCAUUAGGAAGUUUUUUCAAAGGAAGUGAGGCAACUCCUUCAACUGUACCCACUUUGUCACUUCAGCAAAAACUAGAAGCAGAGCUGAGCAGCUACUUGUUGUCCCCCGUGCUUGAUAGUGAGGAAAAUCCACUGGAAUGGUGGGGAAAGCAUCAUCUACACUUCCCCAAUCUAAGUAAGGUGGCAAAAAAGUAUCUCUGCAUACCAGCCACUAGCUCCCCAUCAGAACGAGUUUUCAGUUCAGGAGGAAACAUUGUUACAUGCCUCAGAUCCUGCCUGAAACCUGAAAAGGUAAACAUGUUAGUGUUUCUUAGUAAGAACCUGGAGUAAAUGCUCAUGCAUAGAGAGUGACAGGACAAGAUCCCUGAGAGGAAGAUCACAUACAGUGAGCAUGAGUAAGAUUCACAUCUAUAAUGCAAUGAGCACACAAGAUACACAGCCUGCUGAUCCAUCAGAGGUGCCUUGUCCAAGCCCUGCUCUUGCUCUUAUUUUUGCACAUGGCAUUAUUUAACAUUUGUUUACAAGAGAUGCAAGUUAUUUUCUACUUUUAAAGGGGUCAUGACAUGGUUUUUUUUUAUUUU
ensembl:lncRNA